ensembl:lncRNA
UAGCGACCCUGAUUCAGGCCCUAUCAACUUUUGUUGAAGUGACAGUACCCCAAUGAAACAGAGGCCAGAGGAUAGAUUAAGGAAAUUAGAAAUACUUUAUUAGGGGGUCUUAGGUUGUAUGUAUAUGGGCAUAUUUCUACCUGGCAAAGUCUCUUUGCUGUCCUUCUGGACAACUCUUGGUCAAGGUUACCCCUGUGGAGGAAGAACUCUUACCUUAUGUCUUAAAGUUUGCUGAAAUGAAGAAGGGGUGAGUGUAGUAGAGUUAAAAUGGUUAUUCCAUCAAACUUCAAAUGAUUAGAAUAGUACACAACGCAGAACAGAACAACCAGGUUGAGGGUCAAGGCCCGCAAACAGGAAUAUUCCAAGUUCAGACAGAAGGGGGAAGUCAGAUCGCUAUGAUCGCCAGGAACUUUACUUUUGGUGUCUAUUUUUAAUUAUUGCGCUACUGGUGCUGCCUGUUGAUGUUAGGUAGGCAGCUACAGUAGCUGAAUGAUGUUAAAAUUUUCGGGUUUUGUUUCAUUAAAUAUAUUUUAUUUAUGUAGACGGUUAGCUGAGCUGCCGACCGGUGCUGGCGUUGCAUUAUGGGAGAUGUAGUUUGGUCCUCUACGAUCUGAAUGGAAUAGAGGCGAUUUCACGUUGUAACUUGUUUAUGUUGCAGUGUUUUUGUACAUGAGUAGUUGUAUUUUGGUACUGUCAACUGUGAGGUUCUGUGUUACACACUAUAGCCCUUACCAUAUCAUAUGUGAUGGAAUAUUAUUUGCUGUUGGCUUAUAACAGGAGCCAGGUGUGAGAUAACUGUAUUGAGUGUGUGAGCGCAUAGAUAUUCUACACAACUACAACGACUGACCGCUGAAGCCCCUAGGAGGCUGAGACUAGCCUGUGCGCCAACAAUCAACGAUAGGCUGGGUGAGUUUAAACUACGCCCAGUCUCUACUCUGACAGGCCGGCUCAGAAGCAGGAACUACUUCUGUCAUCAGAGUAUAUUAUAAUAUCUUUGUCAGGAACAAGUCAGUUCUCUGUUCUACCCUGCGUGGUGUUACAGUGAACCCGUAUAUACAAAAAUUGCAUUUGCCAUUUAUUGCUUGAAUUUAAUUAAAG